rnacentral:ncRNA from 20 species
UUAUGUGAUGACCGCUGUCGCCCCAGACGGAGGAUCCUUUUCAGGACCAUGACCGAUUCGACAAAUAGCCAAACACACUGAAAAUUCUGAAC